ensembl:lncRNA
GUUGAUGCCUGGUCCACUGCUCCAACAAGCAAGCGGGAUUCAAACGUACCGAGUUAUCUGCACAACUACGAGGGUGGUACUGAAAGAUUCCAGUCCUGUGGAGCUGUUUCAUCACAGCUGCACAUGUGUUGCUGAAGGAGCAUUAUGCAACCACUGUGUUGCUUUGCUGUUCCAGUCAGCACAUUACUCUCAGCUGAAGGUGCCAGUGGUCCCUCCUGUGCUAGGCUGUACUGAAGGAGAACAGCAGUGGCACAAGCCCAGAACUUUGGUAAGUUUUCACUGUAACUAUAUUUAACUUCUAACUGUAUUCUGCAUAACUUGAUAGGGUAUAAAGCCAGGCCCCAUGGAUAAGAUGACUGUGCUUUCUGCUAAACCCACAACAGAUAGUGUAAGGAGCACGCUCUACAAAGGCCUCAGUGGGGAUUUGGGUGACAGAGGUGUAUAAAAAUGUCUCAACAGCUGAGUCGCCGAUGAUCUGCAGCAUGGGCAUCAGCUGUGAAACUCCCCUGGUUGACUCUGACCUUGGCAAAGUUCAAGCCAUUGUCCUACCAACAACCAGCAACAGCAAAGGGACCUGUCCUUCCAUGCUGCCCCACCAAGUCCAUCUGUGCCUCUUCAGAAUUACCGCCUACAGCCAUCAAGUUGCAUGUUUGUCUGUGCUGAACCACAACAGCUACACCAUAGAAGUCUCACGUUUCAGGGAGAUCUGCCAGGUUCGAGAAAACUCUGAAGAAGGUCUGGCUAACCAGAUACUGCAAGGGACCCAUCAGACGGUAGCUAUGAAGAAGGGGCUCGAAUUAGAGGCAGAUGCUAUCUGGGACUAUUGCCAAAUGAAAAGGGUCAAGCACUACCUCUGUGGAUUCGUAAUUCACCUGAAGCUCCUUGGCUGGGGGCAUUUUCAGAUGGGUUAAUCAUUGACCCUUCAGAGGCAUGUCAGUUUGGGCUGAUUGAGAUGAAGUCACUGAAUGUUAAAAGCUAUGUGGAGUGCACAUAUCUCCAAACGAAUUCAGGCAAAUUGGAGCUAAAACAAACCCAUGCUUACUACUGGCAAGUACAGGGGCAGAUGCUAAUAACGGGAAUGAGUUGGUGUGAUUUUGUAGUCUCAGGUGAGGAAGAUGUACUCAUUCAAAUAAUUUACAGAAACAUUGAUGUUUUGGAUGUAAUCAGAGAGAAGGUAGUCAGGUUUUAUUUGUCUACUUGCAGAAAUGUCUAAUGCUUCCGCAUUUAUUACCAUUGUACUGAAGAGGAGGCAGACCUCUCUAGCACUACAGAUAAGAGAGAAUUUUUUGGGGGGGGGGGUGAACUGCCCCUUUAACAACUGUAAAGAACUGUA